GACGAACGCUGGCGGCGUGCUUAACACAUGCAAGUCGAACGGAAAGGCGCUGCUUUUGUGUGUUGCUCGGGUGGCGAACUGAGUAGUAACUCGUGAGUAACCUGCCCUUGACGUUGUGAUAACUGCAGGAAACUGGGGCUAAUACCGGAUAGGAGCUCCUGCUGCGUGGUGGGGGUUGGAAAGGUUCGGAGGGUGGGGAUAGACUCGCGGGUUAUCAGCUGGUUGGUGGGGUAGUGGCUUACCCAGUCUUUGGCGGGGAGCCGGCCUGAGAGGGUGACCGGCGACAUUGGGACACAGAUACGGCGCAGACUCCUCUGGGAGGCAGAAGUGGGGAAUAUUUCACACUGGGGGGACGCCUGAUGCAGAAACGUCGCGUGCGGGAUAAAGACCUUCGGGUUGUAAAAAGCUCUCGCAUGAGACGAAGAGAGAGUGACGGUACUGGGAGAAGAAGCAACGGCUAAAUACGUG
rnacentral:rRNA from 1 species